GCGAGGAUGGUGAAAUGGUAGACACGCAGGCUUGAGGUGCCUGUGGGUAACUCCGUGGGGGUUCAAGUCCCCCUCCUCGCACCA
rnacentral:tRNA from 1 species